UCUUUUCCUUUUGUGCCCGCCGCCGCGGUAAUACGUAGGUGGCGAGCGUUGUCCGGAAUUAUUGGGCGUAAAGAGCAUGUAGGCGGCUUAAUAAGUCGAGCGUGAAAAUGCGGGGCUCAACCCCGUAUGGCGCUGGAAACUGUUAGGCUUGAGUGCAGGAGAGGAAAGGGGAAUUCCCAGUGUAGCGGUGAAAUGCGUAGAUAUUGGGAGGAACACCAGUGGCGAAGGCGCCUUUCUGGACUGUGUCUGACGCUGAGAUGCGAAAGCCAGGGUAGCGAACGGG
rnacentral:rRNA from 1 species